AGCAGCCGCGGUAAUUCCAGCUCCAAUAGCGUAUAUUAAAGUUGUUGCAGUUAAAAAGCUCGUAGUUGAACUUCGGAAUUUGCCCAUUGGUCAGGCAGAACUGUCUGCAUUGGUGUGACGAGUUCCUACCUUCUGAGGAAUCUUCAUGCCAUUCAGUUGGUGUGGGGGGAAAUCAGGACUGUUACUUUGAAAAAAUUAGAGUGUUUAAAGCAGGCAUCCGUCUGAAUACAUUAGCAUGGAAUAAUAAAUAGGACGGUUUGGUUCUAUUUUGUUGGUUUCUAGGAUCACCGUAAUGAUUAAUAGGGAUAGUUGGGGACAUUAGUAUUCAAUUGUCAGAGGUGAAAUUCUUGGAUUUAUUGAAGACUAACUACUGCGAAAGCAUUUGCCAAGGAUGUUUUCAUUAAUCAAG
rnacentral:rRNA from 1 species